rnacentral:SRP_RNA from 1 species
GCAGGGUGUGGUGGUGCACACCUGUAAUCCCAGCUACUCGGGAGGCUGAGGUAGGAGGAUUGCUUGACCCCAGGAGGUUGAGGCUGCAGUGAGCCAUGAUUGUGCCACUGCACUUCAGCCUGGGCAACACAGCAAGACCCUGUCUCAA